rnacentral:rRNA from 1 species
AACGAACGCUGGCGGCGUGGAUUAGGCAUGCAAGUCGUACGCGAAAGGUUCCUUCGGGGGCCGAGUAGAGUGGCGAACUGGUGAGUACAAGGUGAAUAACGUGCCCUGAAGUGGGGGAUAACUUCGCGAAAGCGAAGCUAAUACCGCAUGGUCUCACGGGUCUUUGGGUCUGUGAGUAAAGCAGUAAUGCGCUUUGGGAUCGGUUCACCUCCCAUUAGCUAGUUGGUGGGGUAACGGACCACCAAGGCUAGACGGGUAGCUGGUCUGAGAGGAUGAUCAGCCACACUGGGACUGAGACACGGCCCAGACUCCUACGGGAGGCAGCAGUGGGGAAUAUUGGGCAAUGGGCGCAAGCCUGACCCCAGCCAUGCCGCGUGAGUGAUGAAGGCC